GCGGGUACUGCCGUUGCAGCCAUCUCUACCACCAUUAGAGCCGGAUGUAUCACCUCUGUUUCUCCCUCUAGCUAGGAGGUGGGUUCUCCGGCGUGGGAACUACCGAGGUAGUGAUGCUCAUCAUAAUCUCCCUCUUGUCUGGGAUGUGUUGGAUAUGCUGGAGGCGGCACAGUUCAUCUGGACGCCAUACAACGACGAGUUGAUAGUUGAUCUGCCCGAUUAUUGCUCGAUCGAUCGAUAGCUUUAGAGCACUUCCGUCCUGCUGAUGUGCCUCAAUGUUGUGGAGCAUCAUGCCACAGAGCGGGUACGUCGCCAGUUUGACCAUCCCCAGACUAUACCGAGGGAGCCUGCAUAGGUGGCUAUAAAUUAUCAACGGGAGGAUCGUUCGAGGGUGGACGACGCAUUUGUAGGAUGGCUAGAGGCGCAGGUUCAUACUUGGGAGCAGCGAGAGGACUUGAUUCCGCCACCACCUUCACAGAUCCAGGCGGCAACUAUUGAGUUCUAUACAUCAUGGUACUGCCGUCACACCUGACUGAUGAUCGGGAACCCCGUUCAUGUACCUGGCGGUCGGUUCAGACCAUACGCCGGGAGGCAUGAGGCACUGGCUAUUGGGCAUCACAUGGUCUACCAGUUGGGAUAGGAGAUGCAACAGCAUGCCGACAAUCUUGAAAUCGUUGAGUAUGGCCGGCGGGUGGUAGAGUUGGCUCUCCGGACACUGCAGCGAGCCAGAGAGGACGAGAGGUUAGAUCACGAGGCUGAGUAUACGGCACCAGAGGAGCACCAUCGGGGUAGGCCUAUCCCACGAGGCAGGGGUCAGGCACGAGCGAGGGCUGCCCCACGAGGCAGGGGUGCCCCACGAGGUCGCAGGGGACGGUGAGGAGGUGGUCCCCAGCAAGGGAGCGUUGAGGCACUUGUCGACUCACCUGUUGAGGCACCUGAUGAGGAUCUUGGAGAUGAUCAACCGGGUUAUUUCCCUCAGCUAGACGAGCCUUCCAGCAACAUGCCGUCGUACAACCUUCAGCUGGAUCUACCAGCAUCGCAGGUCACCCCGUCAAAUCCAUUGUUGAUCACGGGUACAUUCGACAGAGAUGUAGACCAAUUCUUUUCAGGACCAUCUAUCGCAACUGAGGAUCGGCCGACCCGAGACGUGGAUGGCAGGCGCAGGUUGAGUUUUGGUUAAUCCCCGGCGGUUGAUGCAGAUCUAUCACAAGCGCAGGCUUCAUCCCGGCCCAUCACGGAGGCCACUGUAUGCGAUGAUGAGGACACCACAGAUGCUUAUACUUAGGAGCCCGACGAGACCAUGGUGAGAAAAUAUUUUUGUAGGUUACUGACGGCCCGACAACCCCUUCUACCGAUCCUGCUAACUGUACUAACGAUGCUACUGUGCAUCCUCACAUAAAGAGGUGACUUGAUGAUGAUGAUCCUGAUAGUGUACCCGGGCGACAGGGUAUGCGCCUCAGGCCAGCGGCUGCACUGAAGCACACAGGCUGUGAGACUCAUUGAUUUAUUUUUAUUUGUAUUUUGUGUAAAUACUGUCACACCUCCUUUUU